rnacentral:rRNA from 1 species
AGUGAACGCUGGCGGUAGGCCUAACACAUGCAAGUCGAACGGCAGCACAGUAAGAGCUUGCUCUUACGGGUGGCGAGUGGCGGACGGGUGAGGAAUACAUCGGACUCUACUUUUUCGUGGGGGAUAACGUAGGGAAACUUACGCUACUAUCGCAUACGACCUACGGGUGAAAGCAGGGGUACUUCGGACCUUGCCCGAUUGAAUGAGCCGAUGUCGGAUUAGCUAGUUGGCGGGGUAACGGCCCACCAAGGCGACGAUCCGUAGCUGGUCUGAGAGGAUGAUCAGCCACACUGGAACUGAGACACGGUCCAGACUCCUACGGGAGGCAGCAGUGGGGAAUGUUGGACAAAGAGCGCAAUCCUGAUCCAGCCAUACCGCGUGGGUGAAGAAGGCCUUCGGGUUGUAAAGCCCUUUUGUUGGGAAAGAAAAGCAGCAGGUUAAUACCCCGCUGUUCUGACGGUACCCAAAGAAUAAGCACCGGCUAACUUCGUG